rnacentral:rRNA from 1 species
GAGUUUGAUCGUGGCUCAGGAUGAACGCUGGCGGCGUGCCUAACACAUGCAAGUCGAGCGAUUCUCUUCGGAGAAGAGCGGCGGACGGGUGAGUAACGCGUGGGUAACCUGCCCUGUACACACGGAUAACAUACCGAAAGGUAUGCUAAUACGAGAUAAUAUGCUUUUAUCGCAUGGUAGAAGUAUCAAAGCUCCGGCGGUACAGGAUGGACCCGCGUCUGAUUAGCUAGUUGGUAAGGUAACGGCUUACCAAGGCGACGAUCAGUAGCCGACCUGAGAGGGUGAUCGGCCACAUUGGAACUGAGACACGGUCCAAACUCCUACGGGAGGCAGCAGUGGGGAAUAUUGCACAAUGGGCGAAAGCCUGAUGCAGCAACGCCGCGUGAGCGAUGAAGGCCUUC